rnacentral:rRNA from 1 species
GACGAACGCUGGCGGCGUGCUUAACACAUGCAAGUCGAACGGAAAGGCCCCUUCGGGGGUACUCGAGCGGGGAACGGGCGAGUAACACGUAAGUAACCAGCCCUCGCUUUCGGGUUGACUUCAUGAAACUGGGGCGAAUACCGGCUAGGAAUCCUUGCUGCAUGGUGGGGGUUGGAAAGCUUCGGUGGGUUGGGAUGGACUCGCGGCUUAUUAACUUGUUGGUGGGGGAGUUGCUUACCUAGGCUUUGACGGGUAGCCGGCCUGGGAGGGCGGCCGGCCACAUUGGGACUGAGGUACGGCCCAGACCCCUACGGGAGGCAGCAGUUGGGGAUAUUGCACCAUGGGCGGGAGGCUGGUGCAGGAACGCCGCGUGGGGGAUGACGGGCUUCGGGUUGUAAAACGCUUUCCGCAGGGGCGAAGGUUGUGGUGACGGUACCUGCAGAAGAAGCACCGGCUAACUACGUG